AGUAAGAUCAGCUAAUUAAGCUUUCGGGCCCAUACCCCGAGAAUGAAGGUUAAACCCCUUCCUUUACUA
rnacentral:tRNA from 1 species